GACGAACGCUGGCGGCGUGCUUAACGCAUGCAAGUCGAGCGAGACCCCGCUUUCGGGUGGGUGUUCUAGCGGCGAACGGGUGAGUAACACGUGGGCAACCUGCCCUCAGCUCCGGGAUAACUCCAAGAAAUUGGGGCUAAUACCGGAUAUGACCGCUGACCGCAUGGUCUGGUGGUGGAAAGAUUUAUCGGCUGGGGAUGGGCCCGUGGCCUAUCAGCUUGUUGGUGGGGUAGUGGCCUACCAAGGCGACGACGGGUAGCCGGCCUGAGAGGGUGACCGGCCACACUGGGACUGAGACACGGCCCAGACUCCUACGGGAGGCAGCAGUGGGGAAUAUUGCGCAAUGGGCGAAAGCCUGACGCAGCGACGCCGCGUGGGGGAUGACGGCCUUCGGGUUGUAAACCUCUUUCAGCAGGGACGAAGCGGAAGUGACGGUACCUGCAGAAGAAGCACCGGCCAACUACGUGCCAGCCGCCGCAGUAA
rnacentral:rRNA from 1 species